CGGCAGGCUUAUCAUGCAAGUUGAGGGGCAGCAUGAUAUACGCGAGUAUAUUGAUGGCGACCGGCGGACGGGUGAGUAAUAGGUAGGAGACCUACCUCAUACAGGGGGAUAGCAUAGAGAAAUCUGUGGUAAUACCCCAUGAGGUUAUAUGAAUAGAGGCAUAUAAUCAAAGCAUAAGCGAUUAUGCGGUAUGAGAGGGGCCUACUGACCAUUAGCUAGUUGGUAGGGUAAUGGCCUACCAAGGCAACGAUGGUUAGCUGGUCUGAGAGGAUGAUCAGCCACACUGGAACUGAGACACGGUCCAGACUCCUACGGGAGGCAGCAGUGAGGAAUAUUGCGCAAUGGGGGCAACCCUGACGCAGCAACGCCGCGUGAGUGAGGAAGGUUUUCGGACCGUAAAGCUCUGUCGAGCGGGAAGAAAUGCAUGCUGGCUAAUAUCCAUCAUGCUUGACGGUACCGCUAGAGGAAGCACCGGCUAACUCCGUGCCAGCAGCCGCGGUAAUACGGGGGGUGCAAGCGUUGUUCGGAAUUAUUGGGCGUAAAGAGCGUGUAGGCGGUUGGACAAGUCAGAUGUGAAAGCCCUGGGCUUAACUCAGGAAGUGCAUUUGAAACUGUUCAGCUGGAGUAAGGGAGAGGAAAGUGGAAUUCCUGGUGUAGAGGUGAAAUUCGUAGAUAUCAGGAGGAACACCGGUGGCGAAGGCGACUUUCUGGCCCUAUACUGACGCUGAGACGCGAGAGCGUGGGUAGCAAACAGGAUUAGAUACCCUGGUAGUCCACGCUGUAAACGAUGUUCACUAGGUGUUGGGAGUAUUGACCCUCUCAGUGCCGCAGCUAACGCAUUAAGUGAACCGCCUGGGGAGUACGGUCGCAAGAUUAAAACUCAAAGGAAUUGACGGGGGCCCGCACAAGCGGAGGAGCAUGUGGUUUAAUUCGAUGGUACGCGAGGAACCUUACCUGGGUUAGAACGUAUGAUAAAUGUAGCUGAAAGGUUACAGUCCUGCAAGGGAUAUCAUACGAGGUGCUGCAUGGUUGUCGUCAGCUCGUGCCGUGAGGUGUUUGGUUAAGUCCAGCAACGAGCGCAACCCCUACCUUUAGUUGCCAGCAGGUAAAGCUGGGGACACUAGAGGGACUGCCUGCGCAAGCAGAGAGGAAGGUGGGGAUGACGUCAAAUCAGCACGGCCCUUAUGUCCAGGGCUACACACGUGCUACAAUGGUAACUACAGAGGGCAGCGACUAGGCGACUAGGAGCGAAUCUCGAAAAGUUAUCUCAGUUCGGAUUGGAGUCUGCAACUCGACUCCAUGAAGGUGGAUUCGCUAGUAAUCGCGCAUCAGCAAUGGCGCGGUGAAUACGUUCCCGGGCCUUGUACACACCGCCCGUCAAGCCAUGGAAGUUGGGGGUAC
rnacentral:rRNA from 1 species